GUAGUCUCGCACAGAUGCAUAUCAAUAAGCGGAGGAAAAGAAACUAACAAGGAUUCCCCUAGUAACGGCGAGUGAAGCGGGAAGAGCUCAAAUUUGAAAUCUUAAAGGGUUUCCCUUUACGAAUUGUAGUUUAGAGAAGUGUUUUCUGUUGAGGUUUUGGUAAAAGUUCUUUGGAAUAGGACAUCAUAGAGGGUGAGAAUCCCGUAUUUGACCUUUACUUUCAACUUUGUGAUACACUUUCAAAGAGUCGGAUUGUUUGGGAAUGCAGUCCAAAAUGGGUGGUAAAUUUCAUCUAAAGCUAAAUAUUGGCGAGAGACCGAUAGCGAACAAGUACCGUGAGGGAAAGAUGAAAAGAACUUUGAAAAGAGAGUUAAACAGUACGUGAAAUUGUCAAAAGGGAAGCGUUUGACACCAGUGUUGUUUUUCUGAAAAUCAAUUAAAGAACUGUUUAUGCUAAGUUGUUUAGACUUUAUCAGCUAACUGUUUAGUUUUGAGCUUUUCUUUAAUGCACUUUUCAGUUAACAAGUCAACAUCAAUUUCUUUUGCUGUAAAAAAGCUUGAGGAAGGUGGCUUGAGAUUCGUCUUAAGUGUUUAUAGCCUCUUGCCUAUGCAGUCGGAGAGAUUGAGGUCUGCAGCGUAGAUCCUUCGGGGCUAAAUGCAUUUGUGCUAAGUUAUAGCAUUUUAUAGACAACUUGUUGACUAUGAUUUGUCUUGUAGCUUACUCGCUUAUGUUAUUUUACCUACGCUUAGGAUGUUGAUCUGUAGUGCGUGCG
rnacentral:rRNA from 1 species